rnacentral:rRNA from 1 species
GAUGAACGCUGGCGGCGUGCUUAACACAUGCAAGUCGAACGAUGAAGCCCAGCUUGCUGGGUGGAUUAGUGGCGAACGGGUGAGUAACACGUGAGUAACCUGCCCUUAACUCUGGGAUAAGCCUGGGAAACUGGGUCUAAUACCGGAUAGGAGCGUCCACCGCAUGGUGGGUGUUGGAAAGAUUUAUCGGUUUUGGAUGGACUCGCGGCCUAUCAGCUUGUUGGUGAGGUAAUGGCUCACCAAGGCGACGACGGGUAGCCGGCCUGAGAGGGUGACCGGCCACACUGGGACUGAGACACGGCCCAGACUCCUACGGGAGGCAGCAGUGGGGUAUAUUGCACAAUGGGCGAAAGCCUGAUGCAGCGACGCCGCGUGAGGGAUGACGGCCUUCGGGUUGUAAACCUCUUUCAGUAGGGAAGAAGCGAAAGUGACGGUACCUGCAGAAGAAGCACCGGCUAACUACGUG